UACACACCGCCCGUCACACCAUGGGAGUCAGUUGCUCCAGAAGUGGCCUAGCCAACCGUAAGGGGCAGGUCCCUAAGGAGUGACUGGUGACUGGGGUG
rnacentral:rRNA from 1 species